rnacentral:rRNA from 2 species
UAUACAUGCAAGUCGAGCGAACAGAUGAGAAGCUUGCUUCUCUGAUGUUAGCGGCGGACGGGUGAGUAACACGUGGGUAACCUACCUAUAAGACUGGGAUAACUCCGGGAAACCGGGGCUAAUACCGGAUAAUAUUUUGAACCGCAUGGUUCAAUAGUGAAAGACGGUUUCGGCUGUCACUUAUAGAUGGACCCGCGCCGUAUUAGCUAGUUGGUAAGGUAACGGCUUACCAAGGCGACGAUACGUAGCCGACCUGAGAGGGUGAUCGGCCACACUGGAACUGAGACACGGUCCAGACUCCUACGGGAGGCAGCAGUAGGGAAUCUUCCGCAAUGGGCGAAAGCCUGACGGAGCAACGCCGCGUGAGUGAUGAAGGUCUUCGGAUCGUAAAACUCUGUUGUUAGGGAAGAACAAAUUUGUUAGUAACUGAACAAGUCUUGACGGUACCUAACCAGAAAGCCACGGCUAACUACGUGCCAGCAGCCGCGGUAAUACGUAGGUGGCAAGCGUUAUCCGGAAUUAUUGGGCGUAAAGCGCGCGUAGGCGGUUUCUUAAGUCUGAUGUGAAAGCCCACGGCUCAACCGUGGAGGGUCAUUGGAAACUGGGAAACUUGAGUGCAGAAGAGGAGAGUGGAAUUCCAUGUGUAGCGGUGAAAUGCGCAGAGAUAUGGAGGAACACCAGUGGCGAAGGCGGCUCUCUGGUCUGUAACUGACGCUGAUGUGCGAAAGCGUGGGGAUCAAACAGGAUUAGAUACCCUGGUAGUCCACGCCGUAAACGAUGAGUGCUAAGUGUUAGGGGGUUUCCGCCCCUUAGUGCUGCAGCUAACGCAUUAAGCACUCCGCCUGGGGAGUACGACCGCAAGGUUGAAACUCAAAGGAAUUGACGGGGACCCGCACAAGCGGUGGAGCAUGUGGUUUAAUUCGAAGCAACGCGAAGAACCUUACCAAAUCUUGACAUCCUUUGACCGCUCUAGAGAUAGAGUCUUCCCCUUCGGGGGACAAAGUGACAGGUGGUGCAUGGUUGUCGUCAGCUCGUGUCGUGAGAUGUUGGGUUAAGUCCCGCAACGAGCGCAACCCUUAAGCUUAGUUGCCAUCAUUAAGUUGGGCACUCUAGGUUGACUGCCGGUGACAAACCGGAGGAAGGUGGGGAUGACGUCAAAUCAUCAUGCCCCUUAUGAUUUGGGCUACACACGUGCUACAAUGGAUAAUACAAAGGGCAGCGAAUCCGCGAGGCCAAGCAAAUCCCAUAAAAUUAUUCUCAGUUCGGAUUGUAGUCUGCAACUCGACUACAUGAAGCUGGAAUCGCUAGUAAUCGUAGAUCAGCAUGCUACGGUGAAUACGUUCCCGGGUCUUGUACACACCGCCCGUCACACCACGAGAGUUUGUAACACCCGAAGCCGGUGGAGUAACCUUUUAGGAGCUAGCCGUCG